UGGAAUAUAAGGAGAUUUGACCUGUGCCGCUGUGAUUAACAGACAUCAGAGGCAUGGUACCAUGAGGACAGAGACCUCAACUGUGUGUUCAUCAUUAAGUCUCCAGCAUUCAGCAAAAUAUAUGGCACAUAGAAGGAAGAAAAACAACAGUAACUAGAUGAAGCAAGGACCACCCUUCUGGACAACAAAGGGAGAGGAAUGAAAGUCUGACCUAGGAAAACACGGAGUCUCGCUGUGUUGUCCAGGAUGGAGUGCAGUGGUGCUUUCUCAGCUCACUGCAACCUCUGCCUCCCAGUUCAAGCAAUUCUUCUGACUCAGCCUCCUGAGUAGCUGGGAUUACAGGCACCUGCUACCACACCAUGCUAAUUUUUGUAUUUUUAGUAGAGACGGGGUUUCUCCAUGUUGGCCUGGCUGGUCUCGAACUCUGACCUCAGGUGAUCCACCUGCCUCGGCCUCUCAAAAUGCUAGGAUUACAGGUGUGAGCCACCACACCUGGCCAACUUAUCCUUUUUUUAACAUCUAGUUUUCUGUGAGUGUUUUCUAAUGUGCACUGUAGACGGACACAGUGGUAUGUGAUUACUAUUCAUAGAUAAAUAAUAAUUUGUUUAUUAUUGUGUAAUAAACAUUGUGUGAUAAAGAA
rnacentral:antisense_RNA from 1 species